rnacentral:rRNA from 1 species
UACGGGAGGCAGCAGGGGGAAUAUUGCACAAUGGGCGCAAGCCUGAUGCAGCCAUGCCGCGUGUAUGAAAAAGGCCUUCGGGUUGUAAAGUACUUUCAGUCGUGAGGAAGGUGUUAAGGUUAAUAACCUUAGCAAUUGACGUUAGCGACAGAAGAAGCACCGGCUAACUCCGUGCCAGCAGCCGCGGUAAUACGGAGGGUGCGAGCGUUAAUCGGAAUUACUGGGCGUAAAGGGCACGCAGGCGGUUAAUUAAGUUGGAUGUGAAAUCCCCCGGGCUUAACCUGGGAAUGGCAUUCAAGACUGGUUAGCUAGAGUCUUGUAGAGGGGGUAGAAUUCCAUGUGUAGCGGUGAAAUGCGUAGAGAUGUGGAGGAAUACCGGUGGCGAAGGCGGCCCCUGGACAAAGACUGACGCUCAUGUGCGAAAGCGUGGGGAGCAAACAGGGAUUAGAUACC